GACGAACGCUGGCGGCAGGCCUAACACAUGCAAGUCGAACGAAGCCUUCGGGCUUAGUGGCGGACGGGUGAGUAACACGUGGGAACGUACCUUUUGGUUCGGAACAACUCAGGGAAACUUGAGCUAAUACCGGAUGAGCCCUUAGGGGGAAAGAUUUAUCGCCGAAAGAGCGGCCCGCGUUAGAUUAGCUAGUUGGUGAGGUAAAGGCUCACCAAGGCUACGAUCUAUAGCUGGUCUGAGAGGAUGAUCAGCCACACUGGGACUGAGACACGGCCCAGACUCCUACGGGAGGCAGCAGUGGGGAAUCUUGCGCAAUGGGCGAAAGCCUGACGCAGCCAUGCCGCGUGAAUGAUGAAGGUCUUAGGAUUGUAAAAUUCUUUUACCAGGGACGAUAAUGACGGUACCUGGAGAAAAAGCCCCGGCUAACUUCGUGCCAGCAGCCGCCGUAAAAC
rnacentral:rRNA from 1 species